rnacentral:lncRNA from 1 species
UGGUGGAGUUGGAUUAGAAUACUGCUUAUGGGAGUUUGAACUGGUCAUGGAAGGAGUUCGGGAUGAUUAGAUGGAGAAAAUCAAGGAGGGAUAAAGGGAGGGAUUUUAGGAGAAAAUCAAGGUGUUUGUGGGAGAGGAGGAGUUGUGCGCCGUAUGGAGUAUGCUUGAGCCGAAUUUGGUGUAUGACACUGAGGUAAUCGGCUUGGUUGAAGUUGUUUUUCCUCCGCUAGUAUGGUUUCGGUCAGUUUCGUGUAUUUGUUUCUCUGCUUCUAGGUGCCAUUUUUUGUUAGUUUUGGGGUACCUCUCGGGUUGUUUUUACCUAAUUUCUUUUUGGCCGAACACACUCUCCUCCCUCAUCUUUUCUUUUUUUCUUUCUUUUCAUUUUUCUUCUCUUGUUGCCGAUUUUUCUCCUUCCCUUUUCCCUCUUCUUUACUUUGUUUGCCGAAUCUUUUUCUCUUCUCCUUUUUUCUCCAUUAACUGAAUAACCUUCUUUUACUGUCUGUGAUUUCAACCUUCUUUUAUUCUUUUUAACCAAGACAUAUCUCUUUUUUGUUUAAGUGUGGUGUAGCCGAACAUUAUCAUUCGUAGUAUCGUUCUCUACAUUGAUCUUUCUCCGCUGCUUCUUGCGGUUCUUGUGCUGCAGGGUUUUGAUUAUCGGUAAGUG